rnacentral:rRNA from 1 species
UGGGGAAUAUUGGACAAUGGGCGCAAGCCUGAUCCAGCAAUGCCGUGUGUGUGAAGAAGGCCUUCGGGUUGUAAAGCACUUUUAUCAGGAGCGAAACGCUGUCGGCUAAUACCCGGCGGAACUGACGGUACCUGUGGAAUAAGCACCGGCUAACUUCGUGCCAGCAGCCGCGGUAAUACGAAGGGUGCAAGCGUUAAUCGGAAUUACUGGGCGUAAAGCGUGCGUAGGCGGUUUCUUAAGUCUGCUGUGAAAUCCCCGGGCUCAACCUGGGAAUGGCAGUGGAUACUGGGAGGCUAGAGUGUGUCAGAGGGUGGUGGAAUUCCCGGUGUAGCGGCGAAAUGCGUAGAGAUCGGGAGGAACAUCAGUGGCGAAGGCGGCCACCUGGGACAACACUGACGCUGAGGCACGAAAGCGUGGGGAGCAAACAGGAUUAGAUACCCUGGUAGUCCACGCCCUAAAGCGAUGCGAACUGGAUGUUGGUCUCAACUCGGAGAUCAGUGUCGAAGCUAACGCGUGAAGUUGACCGCCUGGGG